AAAGUAUGAAGGCUUAAUCUAGUCACCUAGAGCGGGGGAUUUUUUUUUGGGGUGAAACGCAUACCAAAUGCGUAGGGCUUACACCUUAUGCCCGAAUCCGUCAGCUAACCUCGUAAGCCGAGAAAGGUGAAAAC
rnacentral:sRNA from 2 species